rnacentral:lncRNA from 1 species
ACUAUGUGCUAGAAUUCGUUGUUUCCCAUUUCUCUCAGCCUCCUACUUCAGCCCAUCUACUGCGAUGUCCCCCUCCUGCGGGCAUCAACAAUCCUGUUGGUGGACUGUAAGCAGAAGAAAAAGAUUGAAACAGCUGAUCAUAUGCAAACCAAGAAGAAACAGAAUCGAAAGAAAAUUCGGGACAACGUUGUACUGAUCAGCGCAACCAUCACCUCAUAAUUGAAUUUUUGCUUGUUGUCUUCCAUAUCUAUCAUACUGUAUAUGAUAUCCCACUCCUACAAAGCUCACACCACUAUGAACUGAGAUAGUCGUACACCCAUAAGAUUUUUGCACACUAUCUUUCAAGAAACAGCAAGGCCACAAUAAUUGAUCAUGCUCAUGUCCAAACCCAGCAACUCUUCUAUUAUGCAUCAAGAUGAUUUAUAUCAACUACAAAUAUUCGCUUGUCCAUUUCAUCAGAGAGGUUAUAAGCAUAAUGCCAUUGGAAAAAAAAGAUAAGAAUGGACAGCAUACCUUUGUUAUGGUGAUGAGAGCUAAUUUUAUAGGAAAUGCACCCAGGAGACACAAGCCUCAGUCUAUAUAUGUACCUGUCAUGGCAAUAAUGUGAAGAGAAAUGAAGUUGAAUAUAACAGACCAAAUACCCAAUUGAGUAUCAAAAUAACAUAAAUUGUAAAGUAGUGGGAUGAAAAUACCAACCUGUAUUUCUUCAGUAUAGGCAACCAGUUCUAGAGCUAAUGGUACAUUUUAAGCUCGAACGUACAUACACAGCACACCUAAUUUGACUAAGUUCAACUGAUGCCGCAAAACCAGCUCCUUCA